rnacentral:rRNA from 1 species
CCUGGCUCAGGAUGAACGCUAGCUACAGGCUUAACACAUGCAAGUCGAGGGGCAGCAUGGUCUUAGCUUGCUAAGGCCGAUGGCGACCGGCGCACGGGUGAGUAACGCGUAUCCAACCUGCCUUACACUCUUGGACAGCCUUCUGAAAGGGAGAUUAAUACAAGAUGUUAUCAUGAGUAAGCAUUUUCGCAUGAUUAAAGGUUUACCGGUGUAAGAUGGGGAUGCGUUCCAUUAGAUAGUAGGCGGGGUAACGGCCCACCUAGUCUUCGAUGGAUAGGGGUUCUGAGAGGAAGGUCCCCCACAUUGGAACUGAGACACGGUCCAAACUCCUACGGGAGGCAGCAGUGAGGAAUAUUGGUCAAUGGAUGAGAGUCUGAACCAGCCAAGUAGCGUGAAGGAUGAAGGUUCUAUGGAUUGUAAACUUCUUUUAUACGGGAAUAAACGAAUCCACGUGUGGAUUUUUGCAUGUACCGUAUGAAUAAGGAUCGGCUAACUCCGUGCCAGCAGCCGCGGUAAUACGGAGGAUCCGAGCGUUAUCCGGAUUUAUUGGGUUUAAAGGGAGCGUAGAUGGGUUGUUAAGUCAGUUGUGAAAGUUUGCGGCUCAACCGUAAAAUUGCAAUUGAUACUGGCAGUCUUGAGUACAGUUGAGGUAGGCGGAAUUCGUGGUGUAGCGGUGAAAUGCUUAGAUAUCACGAAGAACUCCGAUUGCGAAGGCAGCUUACUAACCUGUAACUGACAUUGAUGCUCGAAAGUGUGGGUAUCAAACAGGAUUAGAUACCCUGGUAGUCCACACGGUAAACGAUGAAUACUCGCUGUAGGCGAUAUACAGUCUGCGGCCAAGCGAAAGCAUUAAGUAUUCCACCUGGGGAGUACGCCGGCAACGGUGAAACUCAAAGGAAUUGACGGGGGCCCGCACAAGCGGAGGAACAUGUGGUUUAAUUCGAUGAUACGCGAGGAACCUUACCCGGGCUUAAAUUGCAACCGAAUAUGGCGGAAACGCUAUAGCUAGCAAUAGCGGUUGUGAAGGUGCUGCAUGGUUGUCGUCAGCUCGUGCCGUGAGGUGUCGGCUUAAGUGCCAUAACGAGCGCAACCCUUGCCGAUAGUUACUAACAGGUUAUGCUGAGGACUCUGUCGGGACUGCCAUCGUAAGAUGUGAGGAAGGUGGGGAUGACGUCAAAUCAGCACGGCCCUUACGUCCGGGGCUACACACGUGUUACAAUGGGGGGUACAGAGGGCUGCUACCACGCAAGUGGAUGCCAAUCCCAAAAACCUCUCUCAGUUCGGAUUGAAGUCUGCAACCCGACUUCAUGAAGCUGGAUUCGCUAGUAAUCGCGCAUCAGCCACGGCGCGGUGAAUACGUUCCCGGGCCUUGUACACACCGCCC